AGCAUAUCAAUAAGCGGAGGAAAAGAAACCAACAGGGAUUACCUCAGUAACGGCGAGUGAAGCGGUAACAGCUCAAAUUUGAAAGCUGGCUCUUUUAGGGUCCGCGUUGUAAUUUGUAGAAGAUGUUUCGGGUGUGGCCCCGGUCUAAGUUCCUUGGAACAGGACGUCAUAGAGGGUGAGAAUCCCGUAUGUGACUGGGUGCUUUCGCUCAUGUGAAACUCUUUCGACGAGUCGAGUUGUUUGGGAAUGCAGCUCAAAAUGGGUGGUAAAUUUCAUCUAAAGCUAAAUAUUGGCCAGAGACCGAUAGCGCACAAGUAGAGUGAUCGAAAGAUGAAAAGCACUUUGGAAAGAGAGUUAAACAGUACGUGAAAUUGUUGAAAGGGAAGCGCUUGCAACCAGACUUGCGCGCUGAUGAUCAUCCGGGCUUCUGCCCGGUGCACUCGUCUGCGCUCAGGCCAGCAUCGGUUUCGGUGGUGGGAUAAAGGCCUUGGGAAUGUAGCUCCUCUCGGGGAGUGUUAUAGCCCUCGGUGCAAUGCCGCCUACCGGGACCGAGGACCGCGCUUCGGCUAGGAUGCUGGCGUAAUGGUUGUAAGCGACCCGUCUUGAAACACGGACCAAGGAGUCUAACAUCUAUGCGAGUGUUUGGGUGUCAAACCCAUACGCGUAAUGAAAGUGAACGGAGGUGAGAACCCUUAAGGGUGCAUCAUCGACCGGUCCUGAUGUCUUCGGAUGGAUCUGAGUAAGAGCAUAGCUGUUGGGACCCGAAAGAUGGUGAACUAUGCGUGAAUAGGGUGAAGCCAGAGGAAACUCUGGUGGAGGCUCGCAGCGGUUCUGACGUGCAAAUCGAUCGUCAAAUUUGCGUAUAGGGCGAAAGACUAAUCGA
rnacentral:rRNA from 1 species